rnacentral:rRNA from 1 species
AAAUCAGGUAGGAUCACCCGCUGAACUUAAGCAUAUCAUUAAGCGGAGGAAAAGAAAACUAACAAGGAUUCCCCUAGUAACGGCGAGUGAAGAGGGAAGAGCUCAAAUUUGAAAGCUGGUACCUUCGGUAUCCGCGUUGUAACCUCGAGACACGUUUUCCGUGCGGCGCUAUGGACAAGUUCCUUGGAACAGGACAUCGUAGAGGGUGAAAAUCCCGUACUUGCCAUGGAUGUACCGUGCUUUGCGAUACGUGCUCUAAGAGUCGAGUUGUUUGGGAUUGCAGCUCAAAAUGGGUGGUAGACUCCAUCUAAAGCUAAAUAUCGGGGAGAGACCGAUAGCGAACAAGUACCGUGAGGGAAAGAUGAAAAGCACUUUGGAAAGAGAGUUAAAAGUACGUGAAAUUGUCGAAAGGGAAGCGCUUGAAGUCAGCCAUGCCGCUCAGGACUCAGCCUGGCUUUUGCUUGGUGUAUUUCCUGGGUAGCAAGUCAGCAUUGGUUUGGAUCGUCGGAGAAGCAUAGUCGGAAUGUGGCGCCCUCGGGCGUGUUAUAGCCUUCUAUUGGAUACGACGAUCUAGACCAAGGAACGCAGCGCGCCUUAUGGCGGGUCUUCGGACACCUUCGCGCUUAGGAUGCUGGCGUAAUGGCUUUAAGUGGCCCGUCUUGAAACACGGACCAAGGAGUCUAACAUAUGUGCGAGU